CAUUGAUCAUAACUCGCAGAUGACCCCUAUUGAUUUUCAGGUCACUAGGUCAAAGGUCAAGGUCACAGUGACAAAAAACGUAUUCACACAAUAACUGCCACUACAACUGACAGCCCAUAUGGGGGGCAUGCAUGUUUUACAAACAGCCCUUGUAACAAGUUCGUUUUCUAUUGUUUUAAAUGUAUUUUAUUUCAGACAGAAGAAGUGCAGACAGAAGGCAUUACUCCAAAUGGGUCAUCUAACCAGGAUGAGGAAAACAAUGCUUUAAGUACCAUCAAGACACAGAAGGCAGAAAAUCGAGGUACAGUCCCAGAUGUGCCGACCAACCAAAAUGAGGAUGAGCUUCCUUUGAUUUCAUCUCUAGCUGCGGAAAGCAAGGGAAGGACAUUCCAG